GGAAAAGAAACCAACAGGGAUUGCCUCAGUAACGGCGAGUGAAGCGGCAACAGCUCAAAUUUGAAAUCUGGAGCCUUCGGCUUCCGAGUUGUAAUUUGAAGAGGAUGUUUCGGUGCGACCUGGGCCUAAGUUCCUUGGAACAGGACGUCAUGGAGGGUGAGAAUCCCGUACAUGGCUGCAGGUUUGCUUCUAUGUGAAACUCCUUCGAAGAGUCGAGUUGUUUGGGAAUGCAGCUCAAAAUGGGUGGUAAAUUUCAUCUAAAGCUAAAUAUUGGCGGGAGACCGAUAGCGCACAAGUAGAGUGAUCGAAAGAUGAAAAGCACUUUGAAAAGAGAGUUAAACAGUACGUGAAAUUGUUGAAAGGGAAGCGCUUGCAAUCAGACUCGCCUUCAGUUGAUCAGCCUUCCUUCUGGUUGGUGCACUCUGCUGUUGGCGGGCCAGCAUCAGUUGGGGCGGUGGGACAAAGGCAGCAGGAAUGUGGCUCGCUUCGGUGAGUGUUAUAGCCUGCUGUGUCAUGCCACCAGUCCCGACUGAGGUCCGCGGUUCGCCUAGGAUGCUGGCUUAAUGGUUGUAAGCGACCCGUCUUGAAACACGGACCAAGGAGUCUAACAUCUAUGCGAGUCUUUGGGUGUAAAACCCAUGGGCGGAAUGAAAGUGAACGGAGGUGGGAGUCUUCGGAUGCACCAUCGACCGAUCCUGAUGUUCUCGGAUGGAUUUGAGUAUGAGCAUAGCUGUUGGGACCCGAAAGAUGGUGAACUAUGCCUGAAUAGGGUGAAGCCAGAGGAAACUCUGGUGGAGGCUCGCAGCGGUUCUGACGUGCAAAUCGAUCGUCAAAUUUGGGUAUAGGGGCGAAAGACUAAUCGAACCAUCUAGUAGCUGGUUCCU
rnacentral:rRNA from 1 species